rnacentral:piRNA from 1 species
CUUUUCCAAUAAUUCAAAACA